rnacentral:lncRNA from 1 species
CACAAGUGAAACUCCACUUUAUUGAACGAUGGGGUCUCAAAUGGGCUGCCUCUUUGCCACUCUUUUGGUAGUAUCAGUCUCUCUUAGCUACUUGCCGUUAGAAGCCUCCGCAAACAAAUACUACUACACAUCUCCUCCCCCUCCCAAGUACAAGUCUCCACCACCACCCCCGCCACCGGUUCACAAUUCUCCACCACCACCCCCGGUUUACCUGCCCCCGCCACCUCCUCCACCAGUCUACGUGCCUGCUCCGGCACCAACUCCAAUUUUCCCUUCUCCGCCACCUCCUGUCCCCAAGUCCCCACCACCACCUCACCCUUACGUCUAUGCAUCUCCCCCUCCUCCUUACUACUACUAGAAAGCGGCCAUGAAUAGCUCAUGCUUUUAUGGUAAUCUCAUUUAUUUUUAAAACUGUACAUGUAAAGACUAGUAGUUCAGAAUUACAUUAAGCAUUUCAAUUUUAAGCACCGUGUUCUGUUUAAUUGCGUUCCUAUUGAUUAAGUGACAAAUAAAAGAGAUUGAUUAAUUUGUUCUUGUAGGAGAGGCGAAUGGUAUCCGAAUAAAGAAAGCAAGGGUUUGAUGGAAGGCUUACUUGGAGCAAGAUAGCGAUCAAUCGAGUUGCUGCGUUUUAUUCUCUUUUAUCUUUGUUUUUUAAGAAAAAUAAACUGCCACACGUAGAAACAGAAAAUUAAGUUCUUGUCAUUUUCAUGCAUAUGGAUUGUUGCUGUGUGUGUCAAUCAAAUCUCCGUUGUGUCAUUUGUAAUUUUCAACCUUUAUGCAUGCAAAUGCGAGACCUCUUACGUAUAAUAAAAUUAAUAUACUUCCCAAGAUGGUCUUAUCUUGCGUUGACUUUUUACGUUCCUUUGGUGAUGAUUUUGACGUUUGAAAUUGAUGACUAAUUGACUAUUGUUUUUGUAAACUCUGACAUGGAUUUUUCGUGCAACUACAGAGCGCAUUAACGAGAGACUUAUCCAUGAGGGUCCAUGCAGAUCAGUGUCUAAUUAACCAAUAAUUAAUAUAACUAAAAAAAUAUAGAGUUAACUAUUUUUAUGGGUCAGGCUCAAUUGCAGAUGUUCGUACAAAAUUUCUUGCUAAUGUAUACUUGAGUAUGAUAAUAAGUUUUAAUCAUUAUUAAUAAUUCACUUGAUAAUAUUAAACAAAUUUUCAUAUCAAUUAAGUUACAAAAUUUCUGUGACAAAUUUCCGCGUACUGGAACCAUGCAAAAGGGCUUUAUUCAAACAAAACUGCAUAGCCGUUGGCAAUUAAAAUUAUUUAUCAAUUAAGUUAAGUAGUAAGAAUUGGAUUGUGGAUUCCAUUAAUUAUUUCAAGGAAAAUUUUAUAGAUAAUGCCGUAAUGAAAUUUACGGCAUCAAUACCAUGAUAAAUAUAAAUAUUGUAAAUUACAAAUAGAAUUAGUAAAUGUAAAGUAAAACCAGUAAAUUCAUAAAAGAUUAUUAAUUAUUUAAAAAAUUAACAUUGUUUCUACAUAAUUUUAGUGAAAAAUAUUUUAUUCAUUUACAAAAACAUUUCUUUAAUUAAACAAAAAAAUUCAUUAAUUAAGCAAAAAAAUUAUACUGAAAAAAAAGUGGAAUAAGUUUAAUUGAAUUGGUUAUCAUAAAUUCUAUAUUUAGUCUAGGACAUUUUUAUACAUUUUCUUCCCAUUUUCGAUAAUGAUAUCUAUUUGUUACACAUGUUAAUUAAGUGCAAUUAUUUAUCUUGAUGUGGAUCAAGUAAAAAAAUAUCAUAAAUAAGAUAUCAAUAAAAUUAGAUCUAAUUUUGAAUAUUAUGUAUACUUUAUGUAGUUUCAAACUUUUUACUUGUAUUUGGAGACCAUUUAAGGUUGUUGUUGAAGAAGUGUAGAAAGAUGUAAAAUAACUUCAUCUUACAACAACUAUGAAAGAUAUUAAAAUAAUAAUUUUUUCAAAAUCCGAUUUUGAGAAAAAAAUUCAUCCUUAAUUAAACAUCACAUGUAUUAUAGAAAUGCAAAACUACCAUUGUUAUAUUUAACUUAAAAAAUAAUAAAUAUAUAAGGUAAUAAACAUUAUAAAGAGUUUUUAUUUUAAAAUUGUAAACUUUUGUUUCUGACAAUAACUCUUAUAUUAAUUUAUUUAUUUUGCCUUUUAUUCAUAAGUUUUAUGCAUAAUUUACAAACUUUAAGUUUUAUUUUGCAUUUUAUGUUGAUUUGGUUUUUUUAUAUUAUACGUACAAGUUUUCUUUUUAUUUACCAGUAAUACAUCAAUUUAUCAGCUUGAUAGUAAUUUACUUAUUUUACCUUCCUUUUACAAUUCUUAUGUUUCAUUUCCAAAAUUUAUGUUUUAUUUUACAGUUGUUGAUGAUUUACUAGUUUUAUGUUAUGUUUGCAAGUUUUUGUUUUGUUUACUAGUAAUAGAUUAAUGGGUAAUUUUUAAUUGAGUCCUCAUUAGUUCUAGAAAAACAAUUCAGAGACCAGAAGUUUACUAAAUGAAUCAAUUAAAUUCUUUCAAGUACAAACUAAUGUCAUUCAAGUCCUUAACUUAAUUGGUCAGUUAAAAAUAUUAACAACGUUGAGGACAUUUUAGUAAAACAACAAUUGAGUCGUUUCUCAUUCUUUAUUUUUGACAGGUGGAAAUAGUUUAAAGUAAACUCACUUAACCUGAUUAAGUUAAGGAUCAGUUCUUUCAAAUGAAAAAAAAAAAAAAAACCUACAGAAACUGCCAUAUUCUUCGUGUGGGAGGAGAGAUCGAGAGAACGUGGGAUGGUGCAAAAAAUGUUGUAUAAAUCUACUGUGAUUUUGACCAAAGCUUUGGUAGCAUUGAUUGAGUUCAAGUACUGGAGAGAACCUGAGUUUAAAGGUUAGUAACUCUAUUUUUUUAGUGAUUUCUGCAAGCAUUUUCUGAUAAAAAAUUUUCCGUAUUGAGUGAUCGUUGUGAAAAAUUAAGUUUUUCAAGUCUAUUUUACAAAAUGACAAACUAUGUUUAAUUAUUGAUGGAUUCUUUUUUUUGUUCAAUGUUGUAUUUUGUUAAUUUGUUGUUUUUAAUUUGCUCUUAAUGUAAUUGUUAGACCAAAUACACCAUUAUUAUACCUGUAUUCAUUUCAACAAUUUGGUAUCGUUAUAUUAAUAAGAUUGAAUUCAUUGUAUUUGCUUCUUUGUUCAUGUAAAAUUGAAUUCUAUGUAUUCUUAUGAGUGAUAAUUUUUCUAUCUAUUAGACUAAAUUCACUAUAUUCACUACUUUCUUUCUUUUUGCUGGGCUAUUUUUUCUUUUUAGUUUAUAUUUUUUAUAUGUAUUAGAUUGAAUUUGCUUUUGUACGUUUUUUUUAGCCGAAUUACAUGUAUAUUUCAUUUAGGUUGAGUUUUUUUUGUUGUUUGCUAAAUAAAAUUAUAUUGGUUUAUCCCUUUUUUAUGCAAUACUUUUUGUUUAAAAUUAAUACAGUUAGCCAUGUUACCUUUUUUUUCGGUUAAAAUUAAUGGGGUGAUGUAGGCGAUAGGAUAUAGGGAACCAGAGGAAUAUAAGAUUAUUAGGCUGUUUCUUGAAAUUCAAGAUGUCAUGGUUAAGCAUGGACACAGUGAAAUGGAUUUGAUUGAAAUUUUUGUUGUAUUGCCAUGGACUACAAGUGGCCAGAGGAAGCUAAUUUCAAACGAUAGUGAAUUGUAUUGGGUUUUCGAGGAGUUUUUUUUAAUCAAUAGUUGUCCUGUCAUUGAGUUUGAGGUGCACACUGGGUCAGGUGGUCAGUCAUUUCAUGAAAGUGUUGUAAUAGGACCUGAAAAUCCUGUCAAUAUUAAAAAUUAGUGUUGUAAUAGUGAUAAGUUUGAAAAUGUUGUGGCUAAAAAGGUCUGCCUAGAAUAAUUGGUACUUCUUUAUUUGCCUCAAAGUCCAACACUAUGAAAUCCACAAGGAAAAAGAAUUUAUCCACUUUAACCAGCACGUCUUCAAUCUUGCCUUCAGGAUAAGCAUGAGAUCUGGCAGCACAUUGCAAUGUCACUGUGGUUGGUUUGACUUCUCCAACUCCCAAUUGCUUGAAUUCUGAUAAUGUCAUAAGAUUGAUGCUUGCUCCCAAACCACAAAGUGUCUUGCCACUGUAUUUAGUUCCUAUGGAACAAUGAAUUGUGAAACUUCCUGGAUCCUUCAACUUCUGAGGCAUUUUACUCUGAAGCAUAUGGCUGCAUUCUUGUGUUAGACCAACUAUUUCAAAUUCUCCGAGCCUCAUUUUCCUUGCCAAUAUACAUUUCCAAAACUUUACAUAAUUUGGCAUUUGUUCUAAUGCUUCCACAAAAGAAAUGUUGAUAUGCAGUUCUUUCCAUACUUCCAAGAAUUUACUGAACUGCAUGUCUUGCUUUCGCUUUUGAAAUCUUUGUGGGAAGGGUGGUGGAUGUGUAAAUUGUUGUACUGCAGCAGACUAUACAUAUUGCUUUUCUCUUGCUCUAUUAUGGUAUGUUAUUAUUGGUGUUGCAGCUUCUUCCUCAACAAGCAUUGAAUCAUGUUUUUUUGCAGUUGCUAUAACUUAGCAACUCUCACCAGUGUGCUGGAAAAUGGGUUGUUGUGUCUCUUCUUUAAUUUGAGUUUCCCCUUGGGUUGAAUUAGGUUCCACUCUUCUUUUUGGUACUUUAACAAGUAUAUGAACAUCCUUUCCAAACCUUAAGUUAAUCCCCUUACAAUGCUCUUUUCCUUCUCUCUUUCGAUCCUCUGUAUUGUUUAGUAAAUUGUCCUGAGGUAUGUUGCUCAAUUUUGUAGCAAGCUGUCCAAUCUUAUUCUCCAAGUUUCUUAAAAAUACAGCUUGGCUUUAGACCACUACUCCAAUCUUUACAAUAUACUCCUUAAUCAGAGUUUCAAUGGAACUAAAUUGAUCAUUACUGGUGUUUCUUUACCCUUCAAAUUUCUGGUGAAAAUCAGGUGGCUGAGCAAGUCUGUUCUGUCCACUGGAUGCUGCAGCAUGCUGAUUCUGAUUGCUCCUUUUAAAAUUUGGGUGAUGUCUCCAUCCUAGGUUAUAGGUGUUUGAAAAUGGAUUGCUUUGAUUUUGUUUAUUAAAAUUGCCCACAUAAUUGACGGAAGCUGAAUUCCUAGGACAAUUAUGAUAUAGAUGUCCCUCUCCAUAAUAAACACAAGAGACUUCAGCAAUUUGGUUAACUGUUGCCGGAGCAGUGGCCGUUGCUUUUACCAUAUUUGUCAAUGAGGUUACUUGGGCUGAUAAUGUUGUCAGUGCAUCCACAUUGUGUACUCCUGCUGCUCCUCUCACUGUGGCUUGUCUAGUUGAUGGCCAUUGAUAGUUAUCCUUUCUAAAAUUUCAUAAGCCUCAUUAUAUGAGUUAGACAAUAAAGCCCCUAGUUAUUGAGUUCAACCCAUUGUAGAAAGUUUCCAAUUGUAUGCAAUAAGGAAUACCAUGAUGAGGGCAUCUCCUGAGUAACCCCUUGAAUCUUUCUCAUGCAUCAUACAAGCUUUCAUCUUCAAGUUGAUGGAAAGAUGUGAUCUCAUUCUUCAACUUUGCAUUCUUUGUUGGUGGGAAAUAUUUCAUCAAAAGUUUGUCAGCCAAAUAAUUCCAUGUGGUGAUGGAGUCUGGUUGCAAAGAACUCCACUGUACCAACUAAAAUUGAUUUCACAAAACACAAUAAGCACCAAUCCCCGGCAACGGCGCAAAAAACUUGUUGUCGAUUUUCUAAUGCUAUUAGUGUCAAUGUGAAAAUGUACACAACAAGUAAUAUAACGAUAAGUAUUCACUCCACAAGGAUUAUUAUUAUAGGAAUUGCUACAGUAAUUCUAUCAGUGCCAUUCUUAUUAUAAAUUAGAAUUUAAACAAAUUAUUCAACUAAUGAACUAAGGCAGAUCUUAUUGGGCUAGUCGGCAAUGUGUUGCUUUAGGUCGUGUGGAAUAGUUGCGGGAGUGAUCUUGCAUGAUGUGUGGAGCUAUAACAGUGCUGAGCAUGGGCCAAUCUAUGGGCUCAUGGAACUAGCGAACCUAAUCUAGAAUUUCGAGGAAGAGUACUCUGGUUAGUACUCUAAAUUACCUUAUUAUAUUUUGCACAAACAGAGGCAUGUUAGUGAAAUAAUAUCUAAGCAACCCAAGAGGGGGGUGAAUUGGGUUUCUAAAAAUUAUGCAAUUCUUAAACAAAACUUAAUGCAAAUCUUAAACGAAUUUAAAGCAAUAAUACAUAAAUCAACCAAGGUAUAAAAAGAUAAGGGAAGAGAGAUUAAAACACAGAGAGUUUUACGUGGUUCGGCCAACCUUGCCUACAUCCACACCCCCAAGCACACCGAGCUUGGGCAUUCCACUAGUCAAGCCUUCAAGGCUUCAAGAACACUUACAAUUGACUUCUUAGGUGUCAAUCAACCUUUACAUCUAGAGAUUAUCCCCAAUCUCUUAACCCAAGUGUAUCCCAAUAUUUACAAUCACUCAAAAUAAAGAUUACAAAUUUAUUUUUCUCUCACACAAUUUUUUAAGAUUACAAAUCAACGCUUAAUGUGUGAAUAAAUGAACAAGAAUGAAUUUGAAGCUCAAUGAAUGUUGUAUUCUCGAUUAUAAGCUCAAUGAUAACGUUGUGAUAAGCUCUUGUUUGAAUUUGAUUGAUCUUAUUUAUAGUUGGAGUUGAAAAAUAGCCAUUGUUGACUUUUUCCCGAAAUUGGAUCGCCGUUAACCGUUAUCGGUUAACCGUUUUGACUGGUCCAAGUGACCGUUGAGCUGAAUUUCAAAUAAACGGUUGAUCUUUUGACACUAUCGGUUUGCUGUUAAUUUCCAUAAACCUGUAAAACAAAUUUAUGCUAUUCGUUCUUGCUAAACGGUUGAAGGUCAGCAUGGAAUGACAUUCUAGAAAUUAUUGGUUGGCCGUUUGAAGUUCACGGUUCACCGUUUACUUCUAGAAUCACAGUUUUAACCAAAUUUCGCAGGGAAUGCUUUUUCGGUUAAAGUUAACGAUUAUCCAUAUUUCAUGAACACAUUUAGAAAAAUCAUACGACUUUUGAGAAAUUGUUUAGUAAUGAAAACUCUAACAUUUUAAUCAAAUACAUUUAAAGUUUGUUAUCAUCAAAAUCAAUAUAAUGAACAUCUACAUGUUAACAGUUAGGCCUUGAUUAUUUUUUAAAUCUUAUAAGAUAUAGAGUGAUAAUAGUAACUCAAUUUUCAUAAAACGUGGAAAGAUCAGUCGCCAAAUUUAUAGAUGCCAUAGAAAACCUAGAUUUUAGUAAGGAAUAUCAAGUUAUUUAUACAAUGAAAAUUGUUAAAACUCGAUUAAUUGCAAGGAAACACUUUUAGAGAGAUAUGGAGAGAAUAAACUUUGAAGAUAACAAUGAAAUACAUGACACAUUUAAGGAAGAAAAUAUAAUAGUAUUAAUAGAAUCUAUUUUAACCGGUCUUAAGAUAAUUCAAGAUUGAUGCAAAAUAAAUAACAGGACUCUAAACCGUCCAUAAUAAGUCUAUUGAUUAAUAAUAACAAUAAUAGUGAUGUGAAAUUUUUUAUUCAGAAUGCUCAAUUUAGAUUAUAAUAUCUAUGUGAAAGCAUUGAUGGCAUGUACCUUGGUUAGGAAAAUAGAUUGGACACAUGGAUAUAUAUGUUGGAAGAACAAAUCUAGUUUAUAUCUCAAGAGAGAUAAUAAAUUAUAAAUGACGGUGCUAUAGUAUAUUCAGAUUUUAUAAAUCUUUAUAAAUUUAAUAAUCAUUUAGAUCUUCAUAAUAUUAUAAUAAAACUUUAAAAAACUUUAAAAAUAUAUGUAGAAGAGAUGGAAGAAGAAAUCAUCCAAUUAUUCAAAAUCAAUUAAACAAAAAUAGAAGGUAAAAUCCUUGAAUUAUAUAAAUUAUACAAUUUCACAGAAAUUUUGCAUAUAUUGCGAAACGGUCCUUGUGGCACUAAUUAUGGGACUAGUGUAGCAUAAAUACUAAUAUUGCUUUUUAUUUUGUAAAUUAAUUGUUGCGUCAUAAUUUUUUUACAUACACAUUUUAUGUUUUAAAAUAUGAUUUUUUUUUUGUAUUUAGGGUUAAUUUUACAAUUUCAUACUUUGUUCAAUUAUAUGUACAGGUCCUUCACGUGUUGGUUGAUGUUGAAUAUUCAAAGAUCCACAAGCUAUCAACGACAACGAAUCAAAUUAAACUAAUUAGUUAAUACAUAAUGACUGGGUUGUUUCCUAUGUUGUUAAUGAUGUAGAACGUUAUUUUAGGAUUUUAGAAUUUUAAUUUUUAGGUCUUCUGAUAUUUUCUUUUUUAAUUAAAGUUAGUGUCUUAGUUUUUUAUUUAUUUAUGUUAUAAUUAUAAUUUACUUUCUCUUUUUAAGUUAACUUAGGAAAAUAUAUUUACUGUAUUAUAAAUAAAGAGAUCUUGUUAUUACUUUAUAACUUCAACUUCAGUUAUUCAAUUAAAAACCCCUCUUUUAUAAUUUCCUUUUGUAUUAUCUAUUAAAAACCCCUCUUUUAAAGUUGUUUGAUUAGAGCAUCAUCUAGCCUUGCUUAACGCAGUAUAAAAAAUCCCUUUGAGUUUAAUCACACGUCGAUUAGAGCGUAACUUAAUCGCAUUGACUUGGUCCAUGACUUGAACGAUAUCUAGUGUUUUGCUUCCGCUAUGCCCAAGGAGAAAAUUAAUUUCACCGUGAGAUAAGAGCAUUAAAAGGAAUUCAUAAGAAAUUUAAAUUAAAGCUAUAUAUGUUAAAUAUAUCGCUAGCUACUUGUUUUUGGAGGAAUUAAAACAAUUAAUAAGCUGCGAAGUGAAAAUGAAUAAAUAAAUGAAAUGAGGUUGAAAAUAAGUCUCGCCGCCUGGAUCCAAGGCCAAAACAUUCAUGAUAAGUUAGGUAAUUAAGUACAUGUUUUCAAGCUCUUCAUGAAGAAUAACGUUAUUGAAAUAAAUCACAAAGACUCCCUGCGCAAAUUAUUACAUUGAUUAAAAAAAAAAGCCAUAUCUUUAACAGGAUCGUGACUCUCGGACUGUUAAUUACUUUAUUCCCUGCUUGGCCAACAGCUGGCCACUAAACAAAAUCAUAAAAAUUUUAAAUUUAGUCAAAUUGGUCCCACUUGAUGACAUCCUUUUCAUACAUAAAAUUGUUAACGUCAAGGUUAAAUAUGAGAAGUUUGGUAGAGAAGGUAAAAAGGAAGUCUAUAUAAGGAGGGGAACGAGCUUUGUUUAUAGCACAAGUGAAACUCCACUUUAUUGAACGAUGGGGUCUCAAAUGGGCUGCCUCUUUGCCACUCUUUUGGUAGUAUCAGUCUCUCUUAGCUACUUGCCGUUAGAAGCCUCCGCAAACAAAUACUACUACACAUCUCCUCCCCCUCCCAAGUACAAGUCUCCACCACCACCCCCGCCACCGGUUCACAAUUCUCCACCACCACCCCCGGUUUACCUGCCCCCGCCACCUCCUCCACCAGUCUACGUGCCUGCUCCGGCACCAACUCCAAUUUUCCCUUCUCCGCCACCUCCUGUCCCCAAGUCCCCACCACCACCUCACCCUUACGUCUAUGCAUCUCCCCCUCCUCCUUACUACUACUAGAAAGCGGCCAUGAAUAGCUCAUGCUUUUAUGGUAAUCUCAUUUAUUUUUAAAACUGUACAUGUAAAGACUAGUAGUUCAGAAUUACAUUAAGCAUUUCAAUUUUAAGCACCGUGUUCUGUUUAAUUGCGUUCCUAUUGAUUAAGUGACAAAUAAAAGAGAUUGAUUAAUUUGUUCUUGUAGGAGAGGCGAAUGGUAUCCGAAUAAAGAAAGCAAGGGUUUGAUGGAAGGCUUACUUGGAGCAAGAUAGCGAUCAAUCGAGUUGCUGCGUUUUAUUCUCUUUUAUCUUUGUUUUUUAAGAAAAAUAAACUGCCACACGUAGAAACAGAAAAUUAAGUUCUUGUCAUUUUCAUGCAUAUGGAUUGUUGCUGUGUGUGUCAAUCAAAUCUCCGUUGUGUCAUUUGUAAUUUUCAACCUUUAUGCAUGCAAAUGCGAGACCUCUUACGUAUAAUAAAAUUAAUAUACUUCCCAAGAUGGUCUUAUCUUGCGUUGACUUUUUACGUUCCUUUGGUGAUGAUUUUGACGUUUGAAAUUGAUGACUAAUUGACUAUUGUUUUUGUAAACUCUGACAUGGAUUUUUCGUGCAACUACAGAGCGCAUUAACGAGAGACUUAUCCAUGAGGGUCCAUGCAGAUCAGUGUCUAAUUAACCAAUAAUUAAUAUAACUAAAAAAAUAUAGAGUUAACUAUUUUUAUGGGUCAGGCUCAAUUGCAGAUGUUCGUACAAAAUUUCUUGCUAAUGUAUACUUGAGUAUGAUAAUAAGUUUUUAAUCAUUAUUAAUAAUUCACUUGAUAAUAUUAAACAAAUUUUCAUAUCAAUUAAGUUACAAAAUUUCUGUGACAAAUUUCCGCGUACUGGAACCAUGCAAAAGGGCUUUAUUCAAACAAAACUGCAUAGCCGUUGGCAAUUAAAAUUAUUUAUCAAUUAAGUUAAGUAGUAAGAAUUGGAUUGUGGAUUCCAUUAAUUAUUUCAAGGAAAAUUUUAUAGAUAAUGCCGUAAUGAAAUUUACGGCAUCAAUACCAUGAUAAAUAUAAAUAUUGUAAAUUACAAAUAGAAUUAGUAAAUGUAAAGUAAAACCAGUAAAUUCAUAAAAGAUUAUUAAUUAUUUAAAAAAUUAACAUUGUUUCUACAUAAUUUUAGUGAAAAAUAUUUUAUUCAUUUACAAAAACAUUUCUUUAAUUAAACAAAAAAAUUCAUUAAUUAAGCAAAAAAAUUAUACUGAAAAAAAAGUGGAAUAAGUUUAAUUGAAUUGGUUAUCAUAAAUUCUAUAUUUAGUCUAGGACAUUUUUAUACAUUUUCUUCCCAUUUUCGAUAAUGAUAUCUAUUUGUUACACAUGUUAAUUAAGUGCAAUUAUUUAUCUUGAUGUGGAUCAAGUAAAAAAAUAUCAUAAAUAAGAUAUCAAUAAAAUUAGAUCUAAUUUUGAAUAUUAUGUAUACUUUAUGUAGUUUCAAACUUUUUACUUGUAUUUGGAGACCAUUUAAGGUUGUUGUUGAAGAAGUGUAGAAAGAUGUAAAAUAACUUCAUCUUACAACAACUAUGAAAGAUAUUAAAAUAAUAAUUUUUUCAAAAUCCGAUUUUGAGAAAAAAAUUCAUCCUUAAUUAAACAUCACAUGUAUUAUAGAAAUGCAAAACUACCAUUGUUAUAUUUAACUUAAAAAAUAAUAAAUAUAUAAGGUAAUAAACAUUAUAAAGAGUUUUUAUUUUAAAAUUGUAAACUUUUGUUUCUGACAAUAACUCUUAUAUUAAUUUAUUUAUUUUGCCUUUUAUUCAUAAGUUUUAUGCAUAAUUUACAAACUUUAAGUUUUAUUUUGCAUUUUAUGUUGAUUUGGUUUUUUUAUAUUAUACGUACAAGUUUUCUUUUUAUUUACCAGUAAUACAUCAAUUUAUCAGCUUGAUAGUAAUUUACUUAUUUUACCUUCCUUUUACAAUUCUUAUGUUUCAUUUCCAAAAUUUAUGUUUUAUUUUACAGUUGUUGAUGAUUUACUAGUUUUAUGUUAUGUUUGCAAGUUUUUGUUUUGUUUACUAGUAAUAGAUUAAUGGGUAAUUUUUAAUUGAGUCCUCAUUAGUUCUAGAAAAACAAUUCAGAGACCAGAAGUUUACUAAAUGAAUCAAUUAAAUUCUUUCAAGUACAAACUAAUGUCAUUCAAGUCCUUAACUUAAUUGGUCAGUUAAAAAUAUUAACAACGUUGAGGACAUUUUAGUAAAACAACAAUUGAGUCGUUUCUCAUUCUUUAUUUUUGACAGGUGGAAAUAGUUUAAAGUAAACUCACUUAACCUGAUUAAGUUAAGGAUCAGUUCUUUCAAAUGAAAAAAAAAAAAAAAAACCUACAGAAACUGCCAUAUUCUUCGUGUGGGAGGAGAGAUCGAGAGAACGUGGGAUGGUGCAAAAAAUGUUGUAUAAAUCUACUGUGAUUUUGACCAAAGCUUUGGUAGCAUUGAUUGAGUUCAAGUACUGGAGAGAACCUGAGUUUAAAGGUUAGUAACUCUAUUUUUUUAGUGAUUUUUGCAAGCAUUUUCUGAUAAAAAAUUUUCCGUAUUGAGUGAUCGUUGUGAAAAAUUAAGUUUUUCAAGUCUAUUUUACAAAAUGACAAACUAUGUUUAAUUAUUGGUGGAUUCUUUUUUUUGUUCAAUGUUGUAUUUUGUUAAUUUGUUGUUUUUAAUUUGCUCUUAAUGUAAUUGUUAGACCAAAUACACCAUUAUUAUACCUAUAUUCAUUUCAACAAUUUGGUAUCGUUAUAUUAAUAAGAUUGAAUUCAUUGUAUUUGCUUCUUUGUUCAUGUAAAAUUGAAUUCUAUGUAUUCUUAUGAGUGAUAAUUUUUCUAUCUAUUAGACUAAAUUCACUAUAUUCACUACUUUCUUUCUUUUUGCUGGGCUAUUUUUUCUUUUUAGUUUAUAUUUUUAUAUGUAUUAGAUUGAAUUUGCUUUUGUACGUUUUUUUAGCCGAAUUACAUGUAUAUUUCAUUUAGGUUGAGUUUUUUUUGUUGUUUGCUAAAUAAAAUUAUAUUGGUUUAUCCCCUUUUUAUGCAAUACUUUUUGUUUAAAAUUAAUACAGUUAGCCAUGUUACCUUUUUUUUCAGUUAAAAUUAAUGGGGUGAUGUAGGCGAUAGGAUAUAGGGAACCAGAGGAAUAUAAGAUUAUUAGGCUGUUUCUUGAAAUUCAAGAUGUCAUGGUUAAGCAUGGACACAGUGAAAUGGAUUUGAUUGAAAUUUUUGUUGUAUUGCCAUGGACUACAAGUGGCCAGAGGAAGCUAAUUUCAAACGAUAGUGAAUUGUAUUGGGUUUUCGAGGAGUUUUUUUUAAUCAAUAGUUGUCCUGUCAUUGAGUUUGAGGUGCACACUGGGUCAGGUGGUCAGUCAUUUCAUGAAAGUGUUGUAAUAGGACCUGAAAAUCCUGUCAAUAUUAAAAAUUAGUGUUGUAAUAGUGAUAAGUUUGAAAAUGUUGUGGCUAAAAAGGUCUGCCUAGAAUAAUUGGUACUUCUUUAUUUGCCUCAAAGUCCAACACUAUGAAAUCCACAAGGAAAAAGAAUUUAUCCACUUUAACCAGCACGUCUUCAAUCUUGCCUUCAGGAUAAGCAUGAGAUCUGGCAGCACAUUGCAAUGUCACUGUGGUUGGUUUGACUUCUCCAACUCCCAAUUGCUUGAAUUCUGAUAAUGUCAUAAGAUUGAUGCUUGCUCCCAAACCACAAAGUGUCUUGCCACUGUAUUUAGUCCCUAUGGAACAAUGAAUUGUGAAACUUCCUGGAUCCUUCAACUUCUGAGGCAUUUUACUCUGAAGCAUAUGGCUGCAUUCUUGUGUUAGACCAACUAUUUCAAAUUCUCCGAGCCUCAUUUUCCUUGCCAAUAUACAUUUCCAAAAACUUUACAUAAUUUGGCAUUUGUUCUAAUGCUUCCACAAAAGAAAUGUUGAUAUGCAGUUCUUUCCAUACUUCCAAGAAUUUACUGAACUGCAUGUCUUGCUUUCGCUUUUGAAAUCUUUGUGGGAAGGGUGGUGGAUGUGUAAAUUGUUGUACUGCAGCAGACUAUACAUAUUGCUUUUCUCUUGCUCUAUUAUGGUAUGUUAUUAUUGGUGUUGCAGCUUCUUCCUCAACAAGCAUUGAAUCAUGUUUUUUUGCAGUUGCUAUAACUUAGCAACUCUCACCAGUGUGCUGGAAAAUGGGUUGUUGUGUCUCUUCUUUAAUUUGAGUUUCCCCUUGGGUUGAAUUAGGUUCCACUCUUCUUUUUGGUACUUUAACAAGUAUAUGAACAUCCUUUCCAAACCUUAAGUUAAUCCCCUUACAAUGCUCUUUUCCUUCUCUCUUUCGAUCCUCUGUAUUGUUUAGUAAAUUGUCCUGAGGUAUGUUGCUCAAUUUUGUAGCAAGCUGUCCAAUCUUAUUCUCCAAGUUUCUUAAAAAUACAGCUUGGCUUUAGACCACUACUUCAAUCUUUACAAUAUACUCCUUAAUCAGAGUUUCAAUGGAACUAAAUUGAUCAUUACUGGUGUUUCUUUACCCUUCAAAUUUCUGGUGAAAAUCAGGUGGCUGAGCAAGUCUGUUCUGUCCACUGGAUGCUGCAGCAUGCUGAUUCUGAUUGCUCCUUUUAAAAUUUGGGUGAUGUCUCCAUCCUAGGUUAUAGGUGUUUGAAAAUGGAUUGCUUUGAUUUUGUUUAUUAAAAUUGCCCACAUAAUUGACGGAAGCUGAAUUCCUAGGACAAUUAUGAUAUAGAUGUCCCUCUCCAUAAUAAACACAAGAGACUUCAGCAAUUUGGUUAACUGUUGCCGGAGCAGUGGCCGUUGCUUUUACCAUAUUUGUCAAUGAGGUUACUUAGGCUGAUAAUGUUGUCAGUGCAUCCACAUUGUGUACUCCUGCUGCUCCUCUCACUGUGGCUUGUCUAGUUGAUGGCCAUUGAUAGUUAUCCUUUCUAAAAUUUCAUAAGCCUCAUUAUAUGAGUUAGACAAUAAAGCCCCUAGUUAUUGAGUUCAACCCAUUGUAGAAAGUUUCCAAUUGUAUGCAAUAAGGAAUACCAUGAUGAGGGCAUCUCCUGAGUAACCCCUUGAAUCUUUCUCAUGCAUCAUACAAGCUUUCAUCUUCAAGUUGAUGGAAAGAUGUGAUCUCAUUCUUCAACUUUGCAUUCUUUGUUGGUGGGAAAUAUUUCAUCAAAAGUUUGUCAGCCAAAUAAUUCCAUGUGGUGAUGGAGUCUGGUUGCAAAGAACUCCACUGUACCAACUAAAAUUGAUUUCACAAAACACAAUAAGCACCAAUCCCCGGCAACGGCGCAAAAAACUUGUUGUCGAUUUUCUAAUGCUAUUAGUGUCAAUGUGAAAAUGUACACAACAAGUAAUAUAACGAUAAGUAUUCACUCCACAAGGAUUAUUAUUAUAGGAAUUGCUACAGUAAUUCUAUCAGUGCCAUUCUUAUUAUAAAUUAGAAUUUAAACAAAUUAUUCAACUAAUGAACUAAGGCAGAUCUUAUUGGGCUAGUCGGCAAUGUGUUGCUUUAGGUCGUGUGGAAUAGUUGCGGGAGUGAUCUUGCAUGAUGUGUGGAGCUAUAACAGUGCUGAGCAUGGGCCAAUCUAUGGGCUCAUGGAACUAGCGAACCUAAUCUAGAAUUUCGAGGAAGAGUACUCUGGUUAGUACUCUAAAUUACCUUAUUAUAUUUUGCACAAACAGAGGCAUGUUAGUGAAAUAAUAUCUAAGCAACCCAAGAGGGGGGUGAAUUGGGUUUCUAAAAAUUAUGCAAUUCUUAAACAAAACUUAAUGCAAAUCUUAAACGAAUUUAAAGCAAUAAUACAUAAAUCAACCAAGGUAUAAAAAGAUAAGGGAAGAGAGAUUAAAACACAGAGAGUUUUACGUGGUUCGGCCAACCUUGCCUACAUCCACACCCCCAAGCACACCGAGCUUGGGCAUUCCACUAGUCAAGCCUUCAAGGCUUCAAGAACACUUACAAUUGACUUCUUAGGUGUCAAUCAACCUUUACAUCUAGAGAUUAUCCCCAAUCUCUUAACCCAAGUGUAUCCCAAUAUUUACAAUCACUCAAAAUAAAGAUUACAAAUUUAUUUUUCUCUCACACAAUUUUUUAAGAUUACAAAUCAACGCUUAAUGUGUGAAUAAAUGAACAAGAAUGAAUUUGAAGCUCAAUGAAUGUUGUAUUCUCGAUUAUAAGCUCAAUGAUAACGUUGUGAUAAGCUCUUGUUUGAAUUUGAUUGAUCUUAUUUAUAGUUGGAGUUGAAAAAUAGCCAUUGUUGACUUUUUCCCGAAAUUGGAUCGCCGUUAACCGUUAUCGGUUAACCGUUUUGACUGGUCCAAGUGACCGUUGAGCUGAAUUUCAAAUAAACGGUUGAUCUUUUGACACUAUCGGUUUGCUGUUAAUUUCCAUAAACCUGUAAAACAAAUUUAUGCUAUUCGUUCUUGCUAAACGGUUGAAGGUCAGCAUGGAAUGACAUUCUAGAAAUUAUUGGUUGGCCGUUUGAAGUUCACGGUUCACCGUUUACUUCUAGAAUCACAGUUUUAACCAAAUUUCGCAGGGAAUGCUUUUUCGGUUAAAGUUAACGAUUAUCCAUAUUUCAUGAACACAUUUAGAAAAAUCAUACGACUUUUGAGAAAUUGUUUAGUAAUGAAAACUCUAACAUUUUAAUCAAAUACAUUUAAAGUUUGUUAUCAUCAAAAUCAAUAUAAUGAACAUCUACAUGUUAACAGUUAGGCCUUGAUUAUUUUUUAAAUCUUAUAAGAUAUAGAGUGAUAAUAGUAACUCAAUUUUCAUAAAACGUGGAAAGAUCAGUCGCCAAAUUUAUAGAUGCCAUAGAAAAUCUAGAUUUUAGUAAGGAAUAUCAAGUUAUUUAUACAAUGAAAAUUGUUAAAACUCGAUUAAUUGCAAGGAAACACUUUUAGAGAGAUAUGGAGAGAAUAAACUUUGAAGAUAACAAUGAAAUACAUGACACAUUUAAGGAAGAAAAUAUAAUAGUAUUAAUAGAAUCUAUUUUAACCAGUCUUAAGAUAAUUCAAGAUUGAUGCAAAAUAAAUAACAGGACUCUAAACCGUCCAUAAUAAGUCUAUUGAUUAAUAAUAAUAAUAAUAGUGAUGUGAAAUUUUUUAUUCAGAAUGCUCAAUUUAGAUUAUAAUAUCUAUGUGAAAGCAUUGAUGGCAUGUACCUUGGUUAGGAAAAUAGAUUGGACACAUGGAUAUAUAUGUUGGAAGAACAAAUCUAGUUUAUAUCUCAAGAGAGAUAAUAAAUUAUAAAUGCCGGUGCUAUAGUAUAUUCAGAUUUUAUAAAUCUUUAUAAAUUUAAUAAUCAUUUAGAUCUUCAUAAAAUUAUAAUAAAACUUUAAAAAACUUUAAAAAUAUAUGUAGAAGAGAUGGAAGAAGAAAUCAUCCAGUUAUUCAAAAUCAAUUAAACAGAAAUAGAAGGUAAAAUCCUUGAAUUAUAUAAAUUAUACAAUUUCACAGAAAUUUUGCAUAUAUUGCAAAACGGUCCUUGUGGCACUAAUUAUGGGACUAGUGUAGCAUAAAUACUAAUAUUGCUUUUUAUUUUGUAAAUUAAUUGUUGCGUCAUAAUGUUUUUACAUACACAUUUUAUGUUUUAAAAUAUGAAUUUUUUUUUUUUGUAUUUAGGGAUAAUUUUACAAUUUCAUACUUUGUUCAAUUAUAUAUACAGGUCCUUAACGUGUUGGUUGAUGUUGAAUAUUCAAAGAUCCACAAGCUAUCAACGACAACGAAUCAAAUUAAACUAAUUAGUUAAUACAUAAUGACUGGGUUGUUUCCUAUGUUGUUAAUGAUGUAGGACGUUAUUUUAGGAUUUUAGAAUUGUAAUUUUUAGGUCUUCUGAUAUUUUCUUUUUUAAUUAAAGUUAGUGUCUUAGUUUUUUAUUUAUUUAUGUUAUAAUUAUAAUUUACUUUCUCUUUUUAAGUUAACUUAGGAAAAUAUAUUUACUGUAUUAUAAAUAAAGAGAUCUUGUUAUUACUUUAUAACUUCAACUUCAGUUAUUCAAUUAAAAACCCCUCUUUUAUAAUUUCAUUUUGUAUUAUUUAUUAAAAACCCCUCUUUUAAAGUUGUUUGAUUAGAGCAUCAUCCAGCCUUGCUUAACGCAGUAUUAAAAAUCCAUUUGAGUUUAAUCACACUUCGAUUAGAGCGUAACUUAAUUGCAUUGACUUGGUCCAGUACUUGAACGAUAUCUAGUGUUUUGCUUCCGCUAUGCCAAGGAGAAAAUUAAUUUCACCGUGAGAUAAGAGCAUUAAAAGGAAUUCAUAAGAAAUUUAAAUUAAAGCUAUAUAUGUUAAAUAUAUCGCUAGCUACUUGUUUUUGGAGGAAUUAAAACAAUUAAUAAGCUGCGAAGUGAAAAUGAAUAAAUAAAUGAAAUGAGGUUGAAAAUAAGUCUCGCCGCCUGGAUCCAAGGCCAAAACAUUCAUGAUAAGUUAGGUAAUUAAGUACAUGUUUUCAAGCUCUUCAUGAAGAAUAACGUUAUUGAAAUAAAUCACAAAGACUCCCUGCGCAAAUUAUUACAUUGAUUAAAAAAAAAAAGCCAUAUCUUUAACAGGAUCGUGACUCUCGGACUGUUAAUUACUUUAUUCCCUGCUUGGCCAACAGCUGGCCACUAAACAAAAUCAUAAAAAUUUUAAAUUUAGUCAAAUUGGUCCCACUUGAUGACAUCCUUUCCAUACAUAAAAUUGUUUAACGUCAAGGUUAAAUAUGAGAAGUUUGGUAGAGAAGGUAAAAAGGAAGUCUAUAUAAGGAGGGGAACGAGCUUUGUUUAUAGCACAAGUGAAACUCCACUUUAUUGAACGAUGGGGUCUCAAAUGGGCUGCCUCUUUGCCACUCUUUUGGUAGUAUCAGUCUCUCUUAGCUACUUGCCGUUAGAAGCCUCCGCAAACAAAUACUACUACACAUCUCCUCCCCCUCCCAAAUACAAGUCUCCACCACCACCCCCGCCACCGGUUCACAAUUCUCCACCACCACCCCCGGUUUACCUGCCCCCGCCACCUCCUCCACCAGUCUACGUGCCUGCUCCGGCACCAACUCCAAUUUUCCCUUCUCCGCCACCUCCUGUCCCCAAGUCCCCACCACCACCUCACCCUUACAUCUAUGCAUCUCCCCCUCCUCCUUACUACUACUAGAAAGUGGCCAUGAAUAGCUCAUGCUUUUAUGGUAAUCUCAUUUAUUUUUAAAACUGUACAUGUAAAGACUAGUAGUUCAGAAUUACAUUAAGCAUUUCAAUUUUAAGCACCGUGUUCUGUUUAAUUGCGUUCCUAUUGAUUAAGUGACAAAUAAAAGAGAUUGAUUAAUUUGUUCUUGUAGGAGAGGCGAAUGGUUUCCGAAUAAAGAAAGCAAGGGUUUGAUGGAAGGCUUACUUGGAGCAAGAGAGCGAUCAAUCGAGUUGCUGCGUUUUAUUCUCUUUUAUCUUUGUUUUUUAAGAAAAAUAAACUGCCACACGUAGAAACAGAAAAUUAAGUUCUUGUCAUUUUCAUGCAUAUGGAUUGUUGCUGUGUGUGUCAAUCAAAUCUCCGUUGUGUCAUUUGUAAUUUUCAACCUUUAUGCAUGCAAAUGCGAGACCUCUUACGUAUAAUAAAAUUAAUAUACUUCCAAAGAUGGUCUUAUCUUGCGUUGACUUUUUACGUUCCUUUGGUGAUGAUUUUGACGUUUGAAAUUG